AUGUCAAUCAGAAGUCAUCCAGUACGAACGCCGGCUAUCAGAACUGUAUGCGCAAAUCCAGGGGAAACAUCGACAAACUCGUAAAUACUAUGCUACCUACAAUGCUUUCUUGGAAAUAAAAGAAUUGAUGUUAAAGGAAACAUCUUUAUUGAAUUCGAUCAUUUCCCAGGUAUUCAUUGGAGAGUUGGAAACAUGCUAUAAGUCUUUCUUUUUAGCAUUUGGUUUGGUGAUUUUUUCUUUAACAUGUUAUUGUCUUUUUAUCUCUAUGGCAUUUUUCUUAUCAUUGGCAGUGCACCAAUUAUACAGCAACCAAAACUACUUUUUCCUUCUACCUGCUGUCUAUCCCAAAUAGCAGUGCGUAGUGGCAAACUUCUAAAUGCUAUAACAAAUAGCAGUAUGGUCACUACAUGAAAGAAUAUAGUUGCAAGAUAAAUAUUUUAUUCUACAUCUUUGAAUUUGGGUUUUAUGACUCAACUCUGCAAAAUAAGUUUGUAAGGUAAGGAUUAUCCAAGUUUUACCCAAAGAGGCUGCAAUUACAACUUGCUAAGGGUGACUGUAAUUAAGGUUAAGCUCUGCACUGCUAUCUAGGAUUUGAUAACCAACUAUCCUAAAUUAUUAUAGUUUAAGCAAUUGGGAACAUGGACAAUUUCUUUACCUCUUACCAAUGUUAAUCAGAUACUACAGAAUAUUUUGGU